UACAGAGGUCCCAAGCGUUGUUCGGAUUCACUGGGCGUAAAGGGUGCGUAGGCGGUCGUGUAAGUCUGAUGUGAAAGCCCCGGGCUCAACCUGGGAACUGCAUUUGAAACUGGCGGGCUUGAGUAUGGCAGAGGGGGGUGGAAUUCCGCGUGUAGCAGUGAAAUGCGUAGAUAUGCGGAGGAACACCGAUGGCGAAGGCAAUCCCCUGGGCCUGCACUGACGCUCAUGCACGAAAGCGUGGGGAGCAAACAGG
rnacentral:rRNA from 1 species